rnacentral:rRNA from 1 species
AGUGAACGCUGGCGGUAGGCCUAACACAUGCAAGUCGAACGGCAGCACAGUAAGAGCUUGCUCUUACGGGUGGCGAGUGGCGGACGGGUGAGGAAUACAUCGGAAUCUACUUUUUCGUGGGGGAUAACGUAGGGAAACUUACGCUAAUACCGCAUACGACCUACGGGAGAAAGCAGGGGAGCUUCGGACCUUGCGCGAUUGAAUGAGCCGAUGUCGGACUAGCUAGUUGGCGGGGUAAAGGCCCACCAAGGCGACGAUCCGUAGCUGGUCUGAGAGGAUGAUCAGCCACCCUGGAUCUGAGACACGGUCCAGACUCCUACGGGAGGCAGCAGUGGGGAAUCUUGGACAAUGGGCGCAAGCCUGAUCCAGCCCUACCGCGUGGGUGAAGAAGGCCUUCGGGUUGUAAAGCCCUUUUGUUGGGAAAGAAAAGCAGCAGGUUAAUACCCCGCUGUUCUGACGGUACCCAAAGAAUAAGCACCGGCUAACUUCGUG